AUAAAAUUCAGUAAAAUGAAAAUGCAUGGACCAUCGACAAUUUGCCCACAUCAGACCCCAUAGUGCACGUUCCCUGCGCCUGGGCCCUCCAGCUCCCAGCUUCUCCCUCCGUCCUGGGUCCUGGCAGAGCAGAGGCUGCCCUUCUUCCAUUCCGGAGUUCAGUAGCCACGAAGCCCAGGGUCAGUAGGAGAUGAGGGAAAGACCGAUCUGCUCGUGUCCGAGCCCACCUUCCCAGUGGGUCUGCCUUUCAGGUCAAGUACUACGUCCUUAGCGUUAGCGGCUGGCCCACGGCCAGCACAGAAGCCACUCCUGUCCUUGAAACUUCCGAAGUUUCGUGGAGCAGGGAUACAGAUUUUUAAAAGGGGAACUGGCAUUCCUCUAGAGGGGGGAAAAACCCAAGAAACAAAAAUGUCUUCCCAUUUCUUUGUGUGUAAGUCAAUAAACCAAAUGAAAGAAAACCCCCAAACUUUGCACUAGUCACCCUAUUUAAGAUCUCGUUCUCUUGCGUGACCAAUGAAUAGCUUUGUCACUUCCGUGAGCCGUAUUUAGCUCUCUUCUUCGGAGUUAACUGGGACAGGUUGCCGGAGCUCCAGAGAACGUCCGAGAACACACGGGACCCUGUCACCCACUCUACGCACGUAAUCCUGCCUCAGGAGUUGAGGAAACCAGGGCUUUUGCUCGUGUCAGGCUAAAUGAGAGCACCAGUAAGUAUCUUGAGCAAUGCUAAUAAAAUGAGGCCAGUGAUUCCAUUUGCUGUCUCGUACAUGAAAUGAUUUUGUUUACACGGGUCUAUUUUUACCAGGUCCUUUACCUUGGCGUGCAUAAAGUGAGUUUCUAGAUGGCAAACUUCCCCUAUUUGUUGUGGUUGAGAAAAUACAGAAUGAGGGACACGGCAAUAAACGGAAGAAGUUUCUGGUUUUGGAAUCGAAAGAUGGGAUUUGGGAUCCUGGCUUUUGCUAUUUACCUGCAGGCUCUGUAUCCGGAGUGGACACCUGACCCAUUUGCUGGCAUGGCCCCCCAUGUCCCGGUCUUCAAAGAGCAACAGCUCUUUCCUACCCAGGCACCGGGCUUUCCCGGGGGCUGACCCCAUAGCCCUGCCCUCAGGAGCACAGGGGCCAGGCCAGGACAUUCAGAGUCAUGACGAGUAGCUCCAGACUGGACGUGCCAGGUCAGUGUGAAAUUCAAGCUUGUGGCCUUUACCAAAACCCACUGCCAGAGCCUUUUUUUCAUUUUGGCUGGGGCUCCUCAGCAGAUAGACCACAGGGCUAGAGCUUCGGGUGGUUAUUUGCCACUCACAGGAAGGCGAAUGCAUUGCCAAGGUGGGGAGAAAGAUAUAUUUGGGAAAACAUUAAUUGAGCACCUGGAUACAGCCAUACCUGACAACUGAAGCCUGGACGUUUACCGCUAGUAAACGUUCCCACUUUGUCUUUUUAUUUUCCCUCCUUUGUGCCUGCCCUUCCUUCCUCCUUCCUUCACUCCCUCUCUUUCUCCCUCCAUUCCUCACUCCCUUCCUUCCUUCCAUCCAUCCAUCCAUCCAUCAGUCCAUCUCUGGCUUGGUUUUUCUUCGUCGGCCCUGAAAGAACAGUCACCUCUCUGGGCUUUCGUACAUAAUGGAUGAAGGAGGAUAAAAUGGGUUUCCUUUUAUCGAACAGGGUUGAUGACUCCAGCAGACGUUCUAGAGGCCAUGGAGCACUUUGGGAAGUGCACUCAUUCUGGCUCCCACUCAGAAUAUUCAAGGACCGAAAAGAGGCAGCGUGUCUUCAGAUCUUGCCAACCCUGCGUCACGGGAGCGGUGGCCUCGCUGUCAUCGGGGGCCGUCGGAGUCGUCCAGCGGGGCUGGUGGAUGGACUGACUGCUCUCACCGGGGGAGACCUCCCAAAGCCUGCCCCCUUCAUCCUUGGUGCCCUGCUGUCACCAGAGAGCGGGUACCCAGCACCCCGAAUGAGCUGAGCUCUGGUGGGGACACAGACCUGGGUCCCUAGACCCUCGGGUGCUGUGAAAAGCAGUAGUUUUGGAACGAGAGGGACCCAGCCUUGAAGCGUGGGCCUGCUGCCCCCGGUGACUGGCCUUUGCAAGUCGCACUGCCUUUUAGCUUCAGCUUGCUCUUUGGGCAUCUUUCUUGUAUGCACUGGGCACGUAGGACUCCUGAUUGCAAGUGACCGAAGAGCCAGCCCGGAUCAUCCUCAGCACACGCCGAAGGCACUGGCUCACGUAGGCUGCAAAGCGCCGUGUAGGACUCCUUUCGGGCAGGGCUGUGAGUGAACCUCAGCGUGUUCAGGACUCAUUUACCCUUCAGUAGGCAGUUUGGUUUCUUUUUUCAUCUCUGACUGAGUGGGCUUCUGUCUUGAGUAGAGGGUUUUAGAAUGGUGACCGUACCCCCUUCUCCGGUUUCCAGGGCAUAUU